rnacentral:rRNA from 1 species
CCACGGGGGGCUGCAGUGGGGAAUAUUGGACAAUGGGCGAAAGCCUGAUCCAGCCAUGCCGCGUGUGUGAAGAAGGCCUUCGGGUUGUAAAGCACUUUCAGUGGGGAAGAAAGCCUUGGGGCUAAUACCCUCGAGGAAGGACAUCACCCACAGAAGAAGCACCGGCUAACUCCGUGCCAGCAGCCGCGGUAAUACGGAGGGUGCGAGCGUUAAUCGGAAUUACUGGGCGUAAAGCGCGCGUAGGCGGUCUGAUAAGCCGGUUGUGAAAGCCCCGGGCUCAACCUGGGAACGGCAUCCGGAACUGUCAGGCUAGAGUGCAGGAGAGGAAGGGAGAAUUCCCGGUGUAGCGGUGAAAUGCGUAGAGAUCGGGAGGAAUACCAGUGGCGAAGGCGGCCUUCUGGACUGACACUGACGCUGAGGUGCGAAAGCGUGGGUAGCAAACAGGAUUAGAUACCCUAGUAGUC